GACGAACGCUGGCGGCGUGCUUAACACAUGCAAGUCGAACGGAAAGGCCCUGCUUUUGUGGGGUGCUCGAGUGGCGAACGGGUGAGUAACACGUGAGUAACCUGCCCUUGACUUUGGGAUAACUUCAGGAAACUGGGGCUAAUACCUGAUAGGAGCUCCUGCUGCAUGGUGGGGGUUGGAAAGUUUCGGCGGUUGGGGAUGGACUCGCGGCUUAUCAGCUUGUUGGUGGGGUAGUGGCUUACCAAGGCUUUGACGGGUAGCCGGCCUGAGAGGGUGACCGGCCACAUUGGGACUGAGAUACGGCCCAGACUCCUACGGGAGGCAGCAGUGGGGAAUAUUGCACAAUGGGCGGAAGCCUGAUGCAGCAACGCCGCGUGCGGGAUGACGGCCCUCGGGUUGUAAACCGCUUUCGCCUGUGACGAAGCGUGAGUGACGGUAAUGGGUAAAGAAGCACCGGCUAACUACGUG
rnacentral:rRNA from 1 species